rnacentral:rRNA from 1 species
UGGGGAAUAUUGCACAAUGGGCGCAAGCCUGAUGCAGCCAUGCCGCGUGUAUGAAGAAGGCCUUCGGGUUGUAAAGUACUUUCAGCGGGGAGGAAGGGAGUAAAGUUAAUACCUUUGCUCAUUGACGUUACCCGCAGAAGAAGCACCGGCUAACUCCGUUCCAGCAGCCGCGGUAAUACGGAGGGUGCAAGCGUUAAUCGGAAUUACUGGGCGUAAAGCGCACGCAGGCGGUUUGUUAAGUCAGAUGUGAAAUCCCCGGGCUCAACCUGGGAACUGCAUCUGAUACUGGCAAGCUUGAGUCUCGUAGAGGGGGGUAGAAUUCCAGGUGUAGCGGUGAAAUGCGUAGAGAUCUGGAGGAAUACCGGUGGCGAAGGCGGCCCCCUGGACGAAGACUGACGCUCAGGUGCGAAAGCGUGGGGAGCAAACAGG